rnacentral:rRNA from 1 species
UACAGAGGUCUCAAGCGUUGUUCGGAUUCAUUGGGCGUAAAGGGUGCGUAGGUGGCGGGGUAAGUCGGGUGUGAAAUCUCGGGGCUUAACUCCGAAACUGCAUUCGAUACUGCCGUGCUUGAGGACUGGAGAGGAGACUGGAAUUUACGGUGUAGCGGUGAAAUGCGUAGAUAUCGUAAGGAAGACCAGUGGCGAAGGCGGGUCUCUGGACAGUUCCUGACGCUGAGGCACGAAGGUCAGGGGAGCAAACGGG